GCCCGGGCCGGCGGCGGGUUGCUGAGGGACGGAGGAGGAAGGGGUCUGCUGGCAGCCUUCAGGGCCUCCCCGCCGCUGCUGGGGGGUCUCGCUGGGGCGGGCGGCGGCAGCAGGCCGUGCGGAGCUCGGUCUCUGCGCGGAUUUCCUGCGGGGCCGGGCAUCCAGGCCGGGCAUCCAGGCCGGGCUUCCCCUCCCCCUGCCGGCGGCCCGCUCCGAGUCUCUGCUUCCUCCUUUCCGCACCCGCAGUCCUGCGCCCCCCGCCGACCCCCGGGACUGCUCCCAGGGGGCUUGCUGCGAGUAUGGGCAGCGUCGUGACUUGACAGGCAGUGCCCCGGUCCUGCCUCGCUGAGCUCAUGUGGCUAUGCAUAUGUGUGGCCUCGGCUUGGUUAUCAUUUCUGUGUGCCUCAGGGCUCGUCCUUAAUAGGGUGAUGCUAAGCUGCCAGGUGUGUUGGGGCUUAAUUCAUUAACCUUCUGUCAAGUGUUUUGAUAUCUAGCUAGGGCAAGUGCUACAGGAACAGCAGACACCUGUGUAAUGGCUGAAAUAAUCUUCACACACAUCCUCAUACUUGGAGACUGGAUUCCAUCCUCGUUUGCUUGCAGUUGUCACUUUGAAGGCCUCCAAAAUGUUUCAGCAGGAGAAUUGGAUUCCUGUUACAGCUCUUACAGGAAUUACGUAUAUGUAUACCUAGAGAAAUUGCUGCAUGCUCGUUGGUGAUGGAUUCUUCUGUAUUUGUUGCUCAUACAAAAGGUCUGGCAGUAGUCAUCUUGAAUCAGUUUAUAUCCACAAGGUUGCUGCAAUACUAGUUAAGAAGACUAUUUUUUUUAAUGUUGUUACCCUUCCCAAAUGGCUCUGCAGCUGAUACAGCAAAUGGAUUUAUGUGAUCACCCUUCAUCCACUUCAGUACAAAGUCAAAUAUGGAAAGUUGUUUGAGCCAGCCUUGUGGAUCCUGUAGUGAAGAUAAAGGGCAUCUUCUACCUGUGCUAAUGAGUUAGAAACCUUUAAAAGGGAAAUUCUGUUUAAUGUUAGAUGAUUACAAUAAAAAAGCCUACAAUCCUUGAACCUUAUAUUUUAGAAUGGUUUCUAAUGUAGAAGAUGAAUAAACCAUGGGAAUUUCUCUGUGGUCAAA